rnacentral:rRNA from 1 species
UAUUUCCCUCUCUUAUUCUUCUCCUGGAAUUCUGUUUUUUUUAUUGGGGACCCCUCUUCCUAACUUGAUAAAAAGAAUGCCUAUUUAAGGUCCGUAUGCUCCCAAUACCCUGGGCUACCCACGGGCUAUUUGGUUAUGACAAUGGGUUCCCACACUGAAAGGUGAAGGUAAUCUCCUAAACAUAUUCUAUUUCGGAUUGAGGGCUGUAACUCCCCCUCUUGAAACUGGAAUGCUUUUAAUCUCGUGUUAUAACCGCGCGGUGAAUACUUCCCUGCUCCUUGCACAAAAAA